rnacentral:rRNA from 1 species
UCUGGGUCCAACCUCCCACCCGUGUUUAUUUUACCUUGUUGCUUCGGCGGGCCCGCCUUAACUGGCCGCCGGGGGGCUUACGCCCCCGGGCCCGCGCCCGCCGAAGACACCCUCGAACUCUGUCUGAAGAUUGUAGUCUGAGUGAAAAUAUAAAUUAUUUAAAACUUUCAACAACGGAUCUCUUGGUUCCGGCAUCGAUGAAGAACGCAGCGAAAUGCGAUACGUAAUGUGAAUUGCAAAUUCAGUGAAUCAUCGAGUCUUUGAACGCACAUUGCGCCCCCUGGUAUUCCGGGGGGCAUGCCUGUCCGAGCGUCAUUUCUGCCCUCAAGCACGGCUUGUGUGUUGGGCCCCGUCCUCCGAUCCCGGGGGACGGGCCCGAAAGGCAGCGGCGGCACCGCGUCCGGUCCUCGAGCGUAUGGGGCUUUGUCACCCGCUCUGUAGGCCCGGCCGGCGCUUGCCGAUCAACCCAAAUUUUUAUCCAGGUUGACCUCGGAUCAGGUAGGGAUACCCGCUGAACUUAAGCAUAUCAAUAAGAAGAUGAAGU